rnacentral:rRNA from 1 species
GACGAACGCUGGCGGCGUGCUUAACACAUGCAAGUCGAGCGAUGAAGUUCCUUCGGGAGUGGAUUAGCGGCGGACGGGUGAGUAACACGUGGGUAACCUGCCUCAUAGAGGGGAAUAGCCUUUCGAAAGGAAGAUUAAUACCGCAUAAGAUUGUAGCUUCGCAUGAAGCAGCAAUUAAAGGAGUAAUCCGCUAUGAGAUGGACCCGCGUCGCAUAGCUAGUUGGUGAGGUAACGGCUCACCAAGGCGACGAUGCGUAGCCGACCUGAGAGGGUGAUCGGCCACAUUGGGACUGAGACACGGCCCAGACUCCUACGGGAGGCAGCAGUGGGGAAUAUUGCACAAUGGGGGAAACCCUGAUGCAGCAACGCCGCGUGAGUGAUGACGGUCUUCGGAUUGUAAAGCUCUGUCUUCAGGGACGAUAAUGACGGUACCUGAGGAGGAAGCCACGGCUAACUACGUGCCAGCCGCCGCCGUAA